CUCAGAGGAUCUGUCAAAGUACCUUAGAUUUGCCCUAAUGGACAUAAGCAGCAGUGGGCGCAGAAACCUUGCUCUGAAGCCUCUCUGGUUCCAACAUCUGCGGAAGAGUGCUUGUGUGUCACCUUCAGCUGGCAUCUCCAUAACACCAAAAUUGAAGUGUGAGAAGAAGAAGACCCAAUGCCCGGGGAGAAGUACGGUGAGCCUGUCAUUAUUCAGAGAGGCUAGAUCCUCUGUGUUGAGAAGGAUCAUGAUGGGCUCCUCGGUGUUCUCCAGGUAGCGGCACCACACCAUGAAGGCAGCCCGGAUUGGAAGGAUCCUCAUCUCCACUCGAGGGUACUCCACCUCCAUUGUAGAGAGGGGUCUUGAAUAGAAAGCACAGGUAGAUUUCUUGCCAGUUUCGUCGUCGGUUUGGACCAGGGAGGCAGACAGGAAUGACCCAGUGAUGUCUGUUUCCAAGUAGAAUGGGUUCUGAGGCUUAGGGUGAUAGAGAACGGGCGACUUGCGGAAAGCCCUCUUCAGGGAUUCCAAGGCCUCCUGCUCCUCUUCUCCCCAGUAGUAGGGCUCUGAACUCAGCAGUUGUCUCACUAGGGGUGCUGCGAUGACAGCGAAGUUCUCCACGAAGUGGCGAUAGGGAUAGACAAGGUCAAUCACACUUUGAAGACACCUCCUGCUGCCAGGGACAGGGCACCCCACGAUGAGGUUCAUAAGGUUCUUGUUCAGUUUCACCCCUUUGGGGGAUAUGUUGAAGCCCAAGAUUUCAGCGGUCUGGCGAUGGAACUGAGUUUUGUCCAGUGAACAGUAGAUGUUGUGAUACCGAAAGCGGACCAGGACUUGGCGGACAUGCUGGGAGUGUUCCUCCUGGCUCAUUGAGUAGACCAGGACCUCUCUGCCAUGGCAAAUCACAAACAACCCUAGGAUGUCUUUUAGGAUGAAGUGAACAAUGUUGUUCCCUUCGUCAGAGUAUGAGUUCAUUGUGAAGGGCCGGUAGCAUCUCAUCUGGUGAAGGCCGAAACCGAACGAUGCUCUCCAAGUGUCUUCCGUGUGUGUGACCGUGUGCCUCAUCUCACUUUCCUUAAUCCCAAGCAGCUCCAGUUUUGUGAACCAUGCCGCUCCAUGUAGCUGGUCGAAUAGCUCUGGUACCAUCUGCGUGUAGUCUUGUCUGUCAGUCAGCAUGUCAUACAGUAUCCAGUAUUCCUCUUGCUCCCUGGCUUUCUCUUGCUGCCUGGCUUUCUCUUGCAUCCUGGCGCUCACAGGUUCCAAAGUCUCUCGGGCCCCAGACUCGUAAAAGACGCCGCUUUGAUCACUGUCUCCAGCC